GUGCUUCGGGUGCGGCCCCGGUCCAAGUCCCUUGGAACAGGGCGUCGCAGAGGGUGAGAGUCCCGUACGCGGCCGAUGGCCAAGCCCAUGUGAAGCCCUUUCGACGAGUCGAGUUGUUUGGGAAUGCAGCUCUAAAUGGGUGGUAAAUUUCAUCUAAAGCUAAAUAUCUGCCGGAGACCGAUAGCGCACAAGUAGAGUGAUCGAAAGAUGAAAAGCACUUUGAAAAGAGAGUCAAACAGUACGUGAAAUUGUUGAAAGGGAAGCGCUUGCAAUCAGACUCGUUCGCGGGUGCUCAGCCGUCCCUCGGGGCGGUGCACUCUCCCGCGUUUCGGGCCAACAUCGGUUUUGGCGGCCGGAUAAAGGCACUGGGAACGUAGCUCUCUUCGGGGAGUGUUAAGCCCAGGGUGCAAUGCGGCCAGCCGGGACCGAGGACCGCGCGUUCGCUAGGAUGCUGGCGUAAUGGUUGCCAGCGACCCGUCUUGAAACACGGACCAAGGAGUCGACCAAUCUGGCGAGUUUUAGGGCAUGAAACCCUGAAGCGCAAUGAAAGUGAACGUAGGUGGGAGCCCCCGGGUGCACCAUCGACCGAUCCUGAUGUCCUCGGAUGGAUUUGAGUAUGAGCCCGGUUGGUCGGACCCGAAAGUGAGUUUUUUCCAGGCUCUCCCCCGGGCACUCUUGCUAACGAAUGCUUCAGGAUGGUGAACUAUGCGUGAAUAGGGUGAAGCCAGAGGAAACUCUGGUGGAGGCUCGCAGCGGUUCUGACGUGCAAAUCGAUCGUCAAAUUUGCGCAUAGGGGCGAAAGACUAAUCGAACUAUCU
rnacentral:rRNA from 1 species